rnacentral:rRNA from 1 species
GUGGGGAAUAUUGGGCAAUGGGGGAAACCCUGACCCAGCAACGCCGCGUGAGAGAAGAAGGUUUUCGGAUUGUAAAUCUCUGUCCUGGAGGACGAAGGAAGUGACGGUACUCCAGGAGGAAGCCCCGGCUAACUACGUGCCAGCAGCCGCGGUAAUACGUAGGGGGCGAGCGUUGUCCGGAAUUACUGGGCGUAAAGGGCGCGUAGGCGGCCCUGCAAGUUUCGUGUGAAAACCCUGUUUUUAAGGCAGGAGGUGCACGGAAAACUGCAGGGCUUGAGUGCAGGAGAGGGAAGCGGAAUUCCAAGUGUAGCGGUAAAAUGCGCAGAUAUUUGGAGGAACACCGGUGGCGAAGGCGGCUUUCUGGACUGUAACUGACGCUGAUGCGCGAGAGCGUGGGGAGCAAACAGGAUUAGAAACCCUAGUAGUCC